UACGUAGGGGGCAAGCGUUGUCCGGAAUCAUUGGGCGUAAAGCGCGUGUAGGCGGUUCGAUAAGUCUGCUGUGAAAGUCCAGGGCUCAACCCUGGGAUGCCGGUGGAUACUGCGGGGCUAGAGUGCGGAAGGGGAAACUGGAAUUCUCGGUGUAGCGGUGAAAUGCGUAGAUAUCGAGGGGAACACCUGCGGCGAAGGCGGGUCGCUGGGCCGACACUGACGCUGAUGCGCGAAAGCCAGGGGAGCGAACGGG
rnacentral:rRNA from 1 species